rnacentral:rRNA from 1 species
AACGAACGCUGGCGGCAGGCCUAACACAUGCAAGUCGAGCGAAGCCUUCGGGCUUAGCGGCGGACGGGUGAGUAACGCGUGGGAACGUGCCCUUUGGUACGGAAUAGCCCCGGGAAACUGGGAGUAAUACCGUAUGUGGUCGAGAGACGAAAGAUUUAUCGCCAAAGGAUCGGCCCGCGUUGGAUUAGGUAGUUGGUGGGGUAAUGGCCUACCAAGCCGACGAUCCAUAGCUGGUUUGAGAGGAUGAUCAGCCACACUGGGACUGAGACACGGCCCAGACUCCUACGGGAGGCAGCGGUGGGGAAUCCUAGACAAUGGGGGAAACCCUGAUCUAGCCAUGCCGCGUGAUCGAUGAAGGCCUUAGGGUUGUAAAGAUCUUUCAGUGGGGAAGGUAAUGACUGUACCCACAGAAGAAGCCCCGGCUAACUCCGUGCCAGCAGCCGCCGUAAGAC